UACGUAGGGGGCAAGCGUUAUCCGGAUUUAUUGGGCGUAAAGCGCGCGUAGGCGGCCCGUUAAGUCAGAUGUGAAAACCGGGGGCUCAACCCGCGGACUGCAUUUGAUACUGGCAGGCUUGAGUCUGGUAGAGGAAAGUGGAAUUCCUGGUGUAGCGGUGAAAUGCGCAGAUAUCAGGAGGAACACCAGUGGCGAAGGCGGCUUUCUGGGCCACGACUGACGCUAAGGCGCGAAAGCUAGGGGAGCAAACAGGAUUAGAUACCCUCGUA
rnacentral:rRNA from 1 species